rnacentral:misc_RNA from 1 species
UCAAUGCUAUGGUAUUAAAAAUAACUUCUUAAAAAGUUAUUUGAUAAAAACAAUUUACAAUAGUUAUUUUGUUUCAGUAAGUCUUUUAUAUCAGUAAGACCACCUAAACCAUAAUUGCAGCGGUGACAAAAAGCACAGUUAUGGAAACAUCAACUAAUUUUGAAAUAACGACAAGUCAGCCUUCAACAACGACAAGUCUGUCUUUUACGUGCGAAAACAACAUAGAUUCAUUUAUAGUUUAUAUUACAGCAGGAAUUUCAUACGCUCUGCUUCUUAUCAUGUUUCUAUGUACAAAAAGGAAAGUCAAAUGUUGUUGGUUUAAAAGACCUGGAUGUCUCGUAGCAUUAAACAUGUUGGAUAAUUAUGAAAAUCGUUUUGGAUAUACAUUAGCGUUUGGAUUAACUGUCACUAUGUGCGUUUCAAUUGUUUUAAAUGAUUAUACUUCUAUUAUUGGGCCAGAGUUUACUGCGACUAUAACAAACUUACCUCAGAACUUUAAAUGGCUAUCAGUUAUUUUCAAAGUGCUAUUUUCUGGAAUUGUAGCCAUCGUUGGAGCUCCUUUUUUUAUUUGUCAAACAAUGAAAAACCGUCUUAUAGGUUCUAUUAUUGGUUUCCUCUUUUGCUUUAUUUGGAUAUUUUUUGAAGUGAUAAAAACUAUGUAUUUGGUUAACAGCUGUUGGAUAGUUGAAGGAAAGAAUUUAAGCUUGAUCAAUUUAUCAAUGCAAUUUCCAAAAUAUGCUUGUUUGAUUUUACUCACCCUAAAGUUUGUGUAUUUGUUCAUAAAAACGCUCAUUAACAGAUAUAAAAGUUCUACAAAGGUUUCAUGGAUGUCAUUUGAUGAUACUAACUGGAAAGAAGAGUAUAUGUAUAAGCAUGUAACAACUUUAUUAAAAAAACAAGAUCACUUCAAGCCUCCUGAGUUUCAAAGUUCAUUAUCCAAGCAUGCAAUCAAGACAAAGCUGCAGUCUAAAAUUUACAAAUACACCCCAGAAUUUCAAUACUCUAUUCGAAUGCUGUCAUCAGGCUUUGUUUCAAUAUUAGUCAUUUACAUAAUCAUCAUUAAGAUUUUCAUACAGUACAAGAUUAUAAUUGGACAUGACGGUGUUGAAGGUAAAAUUAUUGCUAUCAGCAAUAUUAUCAUUGCAAUUGGUUGGGUGGAAAGUGUGCAGUUGAACCAGUACAUUACUGGUUUUAAAGUGAGUGUGUAUUUGGCGCUUUCUUUAACUAUAGUUACAUUUUUACUCGUUCUUUUUAAUUCAUUUAAAUGCUACCGAACUCACAUUUUAAAGUUACGUAAAGGAGAUUGGUCUUUUCUGCCCAGCUCUCUUCGUCGUAAACAAUUUAAUGCUAUUACUCCUACAUCACUCAUGGUUGCCAGUAUGAAGUUUGCUGGAUAUCAAGUUGCUUAUUCUUUAUGGGGUUGCUUUAUUAUCUUUGGCAUCUUUUUCAUUGUCAUGUUUGCAUUAAGCAUUGAAAUUAAUAAUAUAAUCUUUAAAAGGUUUUCAGUUAUUAUGAAAUAUUUACCUAUUAUAUGGCAAACAAUUCUUGUUGGUAUUGUUGUUAUGAUCAUUCAAAAACUUCUUGCAAGAUUUGUUUUUAUAAUAAACAAAAACGUUGUUGCUAUUAACAACAGGAGAGUUUAUCAUGAUUGCAACAUAGUUCUCUUCCGAGGUACUAUGAGAAGUUCGAUCCAGGUUACAUGGCUUACAUUGGUUACAUUUUAUUAGAGCAUUUUCAUGCAAAUCCUGUUGUUCAAUGUUUUAUUCGUUUGUUAACAGAUCAAUACCGUAACAAAUUUUCUAGAGAUGAGGAUGUCUAUUUGGAAAAUUCAGUAGCGGAGUUGGUUGAAAAAGGCUCUAUACCGGCGGAAAAGUUGCGUCGAUGUCGAAAUAUAAACAGGUGGCAUUUAUACGUUAUGCUUUCCCAAAAUGUUUCACUUCAGAAAUAUCGUUAUCAUAGGUUAAAGAAAACAACUCAGUUAUCAGUUUCUGGUAUGCUAUUCAACAUUCAAUCGUCAAAUUAUGUUAUACCCAUUAACAACGUAUCAU